GCAAGUCGAGGGGUAGGGUGAGCUUGCUCUCCCGAGACCGGCGCACGGGUGCGUAACGCGUAUGCAACCUACCUUCAUCAGGGGGAUAGCCCGAAGAAAUUCGGAUUAACACCGCAUAAAAACACAGUACAGCAUUGUACAAUGUUCAAAUAUUUAUAGGAUGGGGAUGGGCAUGCGUGUCAUUAGCUAGUUGGCGGGGUAACGGCCCACCAAGGCGACGAUGACUAGGGGAUCUGAGAGGAUGACC
rnacentral:rRNA from 1 species